CCCCGGUAAACGGCGGCCGUAACUAUAACGGUCCUAAGGUAGCGAAAUUCCUUGUCGGGUAAGUUCCGACCUGCACGAAUGGCGUAAUGAUGGCCAGGCUGUCUCCACCCGAGACUCAGUGAAAUUGAACUCGCUGUGAAGAUGCAGUGUACCCGCGGCAAGACGGAAAGACCCCGUGAACCUUUACUAUAGCUUGACACUGAACAUUGAGCCUUGAUGUGUAGGAUAGGUGGGAGGCUUUGAAGUGUGGACGCCAGUCUGCAUGGAGCCGACCUUGAAAUACCACCCUUUAAUGUUUGAUGUUCUAACGUGGACCCGUAAUCCGGGUUGCGGACAGUGUCUGGUGGGUAGUUUGACUGGGGCGGUCUCCUCCUAAAGAGUAACGGAGGAGCACGAAGGUUGGCUAAUCCUGGUCGGACAUCAGGAGGUUAGUGCAAUGGCAUAAGCCAGCUUGACUGCGAGCGUGACGGCGCGAGCAGGUGCGAA
rnacentral:rRNA from 1 species